rnacentral:rRNA from 1 species
AAUGAACGCUGGCGGCGCGCCUAAUACAUGCAAGUCGAGCGAGAAGACGUAGCAAUACGUUUGUAAAGCGGCGAACGGGUGAGGAAUACAUGGGUAACCUACCCUCGAGUGGGGAAUAACUAGCCGAAAGGUUAGCUAAUACCGCGUACGCUUCUUGGACUUCGGUUCAGGGAGGAAAGCGAUGCCGAGGGUAUCGCGCUCUUGGAUGGGCUCAUGUCCUAUCAGCUUGUUGGGAGGUAACGGCUCACCAAGGCUUCGACGGGUAGCUGGUCUGAGAGGACGAUCAGCCACACUGGCACUGCGACACGGGCCAGACUCCUACGGGAGGCAGCAGUAAGGAAUAUUGCGCAAUGGGCGAAAGCCUGACGCAGCGACGCCGCGUGGGGGAUGAAGGUCUUCGGAUUGUAAACCCCUUUCGGGUAGGGAAGAUGGAAUGGGGUAACCCGAUUCGGACGGUACCUCCAGAAGCAGCCACGGCUAACUUCGUGCC